rnacentral:rRNA from 1 species
UACGUAGGGUGCAAGCGUUGUCCGGAAUUAUUGGGCGUAAGGAGCUCGUAGGCGGUUUGUCGCGUCGGCUGUGAAAGCCCGGAGCUCAACUCCGGGUCUGCAGUCGAUACGGGCAGACUAGAGUGUGGUAGGGGAGACUGGAAUUCCUGGUGUAGCGGUGAAAUGCGCAGAUAUCAGGAGGAACACCGAUGGCGAAGGCAGGUCUCUGGGCCACUACUGACGCUGAGAAGCGAAAGCAUGGGGAGCGAACAGG